rnacentral:rRNA from 1 species
CGGAGGCCGGGCGGCGCGGAAUGGUCUUGGGGCUCCCGCCUCCUGCACUGAUCGCGCCGCCCUCCCUGCCGGGGGCCGGCGCCUGGGCUUGAUUGUCCGGGUCCGAGCCCCGGCGAGGUUACUUUGAGGAAA